GAUGAACGCUGGCGGCGUGCCUAAUACAUGCAAGUCGAGCGAAUUGACAGAGGUGCUUGCACCUCUCGAUUUUAGCGGCGGACGGGUGAGUAACACGUGGGUAACCUACCUAUAAGACUGGGAUAACUUCGGGAAACCGGAGCUAAUACCGGAUAAUAGUCAGCUUCGCAUGAAGCAAUAGUGAAAGACGGUUCUGCUGUCACUUAUAGAUGGACCUGCGGUGUAUUAGCUAGUUGGUGAGGUAACGGCUCACCAAGGCAACGAUACAUAGCCGACCUGAGAGGGUGAUCGGCCACACUGGGACUGAGACACGGCCCAGACUCCUACGGGAGGCAGCAGUAGGGAAUCUUCCGCAAUGGACGAAAGUCUGACGGAGCAACGCCGCGUGAGUGAAGAAGGUUUUCGGAUCGUAAAACUCUGUUGUAAGGGAAGAACAAGUACGUUAGUAACUGAACGUACCUUGACGGUACCUUACCAGAAAGCCACGGCUAACUACGUGCCAGCCGCCGCGGUAAAAC
rnacentral:rRNA from 1 species